UCUCUAAGUUUUUCGGUGUUUUUAUUAAGAUACAUGUUUAUCCAAUAAGAAAAUUCUAAAGUUUUAAAAGAAAGAACAAAUUAUCCCCUCACCUCCCUAGUGAGUGAUGAGCACGCAAAGGCUCAAGGGAUUUCCCGCCAUAGUCCAGUCUGAGCAAUCUAGGAUUUUAAGACACUGAGGUCCAUAAAAACCUUCAUCUUUCAUCCAAAUAUAUCCACUAAAAGUCCUCAAUUCACUCCAAGAUAGGUCAAUAAGAUAUAUACUUAACUCUAGCAGCUUGAAAAAUGGGAUUUAAUUCCAAGAAGUUUGUGAAUUCAUGUGAUGAAAAUAUAUAAUAUAUGCGAGCAAAUCGAGAAUAGAGUUGAAUAUCUCGUCUCAAAAAUCACUAAAUGUACUCUAUUUUUACUAUAUUCCUAGCCAUGGUGUCUUCCAAGACCCUGCGAGUUUGAAAAAUGGGCAUACUGACAGUCUGCAGUUAUAAGCUAGUGUAUUGAACUGUGGCUGAAGACGAGCAAGAAUUUUCCUUUGGAUAAAACUCUGAUCACUGACAGCUUGGUUCGUAACUUGACUGUUUAUAACAUCGUGAAUAAUCUUUACGUCUACUGUUUGCUCAAGAUGAGAAGAAUGAGGAUAAUGGUGAAUCAAAAGCAAAGAAAAGAAAAAAAACUUAUGAGGGAGUCACAAAAGAUGUAUGUGAUGACUUGAACCACAAGCUGCAAUAGCUUAAAAAAUGCUAAGAGGUUUGUGCUUUCUACCAAGUACGAUGUUCUCAUGCAAACUGUAUAGGCAUGAUGCAGAGAAGACAUUACAUGGCCUAAUAGGAUUUAUACAAAUCAUGAAACAAGCAAGUUACAAAGAAAACUUUUAAAGAUCAACUUGGCAGUGCCAAUAGUUACACAUGGACAAUUCCUGACUACCCUUCUUCAUGCAAGAAGUAUACCUAUGCCUCAAGCUUCCAAAGCCCUUUUUUCUGGUUAUGUGGUUACAGACUUAGAUUAUCAGUAUCCCCUAAUGGAGAUAAUAGAGAAACAAGUCGUUCAUUCCUCUCUUUAUACCUAAAAUUAUAUGAAGACCAUCUACUGACAUCUGGUGGUGUUCAUGCGGUAUCCAGCAGUGGAGCCACUAUAAGUUUCAGGUAGUGCCACACACCCACCAGUAUCCAAACCUGCCUUUUAAUGUGGGGCAUGAGAUAUACCAGCUUCUCAGCAGACAAUGUCUGUCCAACAUUGGUCAAAUGCCUCUUUUAGACUGGACACACCAAUGAGUCAGAUGUGGCCACUCAUUAUGCAUGGCCUAGUCAAAGGUCGAACCCUGAAAAAACCUCUGGACAAAUCUAAGUCAGGGCACAGCCAACUCAAAGAUUCAACCAUAAAACAACCUCUGGGCUGAUCAAAGUCAGGGCAUGGCUAAUAAACUCACAAAUUGAACCCUGAAACAAUCUCUGUGCUGAUCUAAGUCAUGGCACAGUCAACUCAUUGAAUUUGAAUUUUCAUGUCUAGGUUUAUAAAGAGGUAGUAAAAAACUGAGAAUCCAGAGGAAACCCAAUCAACCUGCAUUAGUUAUAUUGUCUAUAAAUAUCAAAAGCUAAAAAAAUAUACACCAGCUUCUCAGCAGACAAUGUCUGUCUGUCCAACAUUGGCACUUAUCUGGCCAAAUGCCUCUUUUAGACUUGACACACCAAUGAGUGACAUGUGGACAUUCUUAUGGAUGGCUUAGUCAAAGGUUGAAGCCUGAAACAGACGUCACUGGGUGGAUCCAAGCGGGCAUAGCCAACUGACAGAUGGAACACUGAAACAAUCUCUGGGUUGAUGUGAGUCAGGGCAUGGCUAACUCCCAGAUAAAACCCUGAAACAACCUUUUGGCUAAUGUCUUUAGGUGCAAUAAUUAUACAAUGAUACAUAAAGUUAAAGAUAUUUACCUAGUUAAAAACGCAAGCUAACUACACCUCGAUGCCACAGGAAGACCAAUCAACAAAUUUAUUUCUGCCGUGCUCCCUUGAGUUAGCGACGUACAUUUAUUUUUAUCGGUUGGUACUUCAUUUAAGACUUAAUGAAGAGUGGCACCAUUCGAUUAUUAAUUAUUGAUCAUCGCUAAUACGUCGUCUCAUCCGCCAUAUAUAUUUACAGUAUACGUGUCUAUACCACAGGAAGACCAAUAAAUAAUUUAUUGCGCCGUGCCCCCUUGUCCCAGCUAUCUUCCUCAAAUUCGUACCGAGCCCACGUUCCUCUUGGUCAGCACCAAGAAAUGUUCGUUCUCUUGUUUUUCGGUACUGACCAAAGGAAGGUGGGCUCUGGGUACGAGAUUGCUAUCUCACUCUGACAUGAGUUAAAAACGUCUGCGCGUAUUAUCUAAAUCAGUAUGCAAAUUAGUCAAAACGCUCAUGUAAAAAUAUGUUGUAAAACUUUGAUUUUCAGGAAUACAAAAAAUACCAAAACUUAGUGUGAUACUUGAAACUUAAUAAGGCCAAUUCUUUCAUAAUGUGUCUGUUAAGACAGUAUCUUAUAUUAGUGUUUGGUCUCACAAAAGUAACACUCGUUAAAUUUUUUGUACACUUGGAGAAAACAAACAUUUCUUUUGUCUCACUGAAAACAAACAUUUUAGCCAAUCAGAGUUAUCAAGAAAAUUCCCAAUUUGCAAAGCCGGCUGAGGUGUCGUGUAACCCACGUGAAUAAAAACAUUCCCGCCUUUGAAAUAAAAAUAUAAAACUCAUGAA
rnacentral:lncRNA from 1 species